AGAGUCAGACUUUUUAAAACCCACGUAGAACACCCUGACGAAUUAAGAAGCAAAAGGCUAACCAAAUCAGAACAGGAGAUAAUUGUGGAUAAAUUAGCAGCAGGAGUUUCAAAUAAGAGAAUUAUUCAGGAGGCCAGAAGCAUAGACGGCAAUAAGCUACAAAGGAAACAUUGUAUAACAAGAGCAGAUUUAGAGUACCUAAUACAAAAAUUUAAUAUUGACAAGAAAAGGGACAGUGAUAAUAUGAUAGCCACAGUGUUAAAAAUUCACGAAUGGAACAGUGAGGGAAAAAUCAUGGAUUUUUAUUUAAACAGAUAGGACAGGAGAAACUUAUCCAAGAUUAGAAAAAGAUGAUUUUGCAGUUGGAUACAUGAAUGCUAUUAUGGAAAAAAAUUAAGAGAUUUUCUCAUGGAACUCAUGGAACAAAUAGGAGAAACUGGGACUUUACAAUUGUGCUAUAAGAGAUGGACAAAAUAUGGGUUCUCCAGUCGCAUUCUUACUAAGUAACAGAUUAGAUCAAUUAUUUCAAGAGGUUUUUUAGGGCACUUAAAAUUAGAUUAGGAGAAGCAAUUCAAGCUGAAUAUAAAGGGUGUUUUUUUAGAGGCGGAGAACUUUAAAUUGAAAUUAAACACAAAAUAUUUUAUUGAUAUGAACGAAUUUGCUUUUAUAUUAAAGAAUUAUUUUUUUUUGGGCAUUAAUAUUUAAAAAUAAUUUCGGGCAUGUGACCCCCACGGCUGGCGCGUACGUGGCGUAAUCUAGAAGUCCACUUUCCACACAUUCUUUCCAGUACUCCAGGCUGUAUUUCAGCAAUCACGGGUAUAUAUUGGCUUCCAAGUGCUCAAGUGUUUCGGGUUUAUCAGCGUAGACAUGCGACUUAACAUAGCCCCAAAGAAAAUAAUUUAAUGGCGUCAAGUCGCACGAACAAGCUGGCCAGUUUACAGGUCCAUUCCUUGAAAUUAAUUGUUUAGCGCGCUGUAUGGCACGUGGCACCGUCCUGCUAAAACCACAUUUCUGCAACGCCUGCAAAGGCUUUCAAUUGAGUUGUUAUCUGUUAUAUUAAAUUUGGUUAUCAUGUUUCUGUAUCGCUCACCGUUUACUGUAACGUUCUGACCAUCAGCAUUUCUGAAGACAUAAGGACCAAUGAUUCCACCGGCCCGUAAAGCGCACCAAAUGGUUAGUUUUUCUGGAUGUAACGGUUUCUCGACAAUAGCUCGUGGAUUCUCAUCCCCCAAAUUCGGCAAAUAUGCUUGUUUACAUAGCCAUUUUACCAAAAGUGUGCUUCAUCACUGAACAAAAUUUUCAUAGGAAAUCGUGGAUCAACAGCAAUCUCUCCUUCCGCCCAUUCAGCUAAUGUACGGCGCAAAAGAUGAUCCUGGGGUUUCAACUCCUGGACAAGUUGAAUUUUAUAUGCUCGCAAUCCGAGAUCGUUGCGCAAAAUUUUCCAUUAAGUGGAUGGACCUAAGUUGACUUGUUGAGAACGACUACGAAUUGACACAUUUGGAUCAUUAUCAACACUAUGCUGCACAGCAGCAAUCGAUUGUUGCGUGCGCACUGUACGGCGUCUUACGGGAUGCGUAUUGUCGACUAGAGUAAAAGUAUUGCGAAAAUAAUCAACAGUUUCUCGAAUUAAUCUCUCUGAAGGACGAUUAUGAGCACCAUAAAACCCACGUAAUGCUCAAUGUGUUUCUCGAAUAGAACCAUGUCUUUCAAAAUAAAUUUGAACAAUUUGAAAACGUUGCUCCGACGUGAGUCUGUUCAUGAUGAAUUGCCAAACCAAACUAAUCUAAAAAUAAUCCAGAACUAUCAGGUCGGCUGAUAUAAAAAACAGUGUUGCCAAAUAAAAGUUCUCCGCCUCUAAAAAAAACACCCUUUAUAAUGAGUGAUAACGAUCCAAAAUAUUACAAUGCAUAGAUAAUGGCUAUGGAUGCAGAACAUAAACCAAGAAGAUUACUUUGUACCUGGCAUAUAGUGAAAAAUUGGAACAUACAAGAAAGGUCUAAAAUUAAGAAGUUCGAAAACACACAGAUAAUUAAACAUGAAAUGAGGAAAAUUUUAAAGGAGACUGAUCCACAAAAAUUUAUACAGUUGAAAGAGAACUAUUUUAGGCAAUUAGAAGAAGAGGAGGAAACUAAUUUUCAGAAUUGCCUGAAAAAGAACUUAAAACACUAAAAAAGUCAACACUAAAAAAUUAUAAAACAAAUGUAAUUAAUUUUUUAAUAUUUUAGGUACUAUUUCCAAAGUCAAGAAUAAUGACGUCGGCGCAUUGUUAUAGAAUCAAUGCCAGAAUUAAUACAAAUAUGGCAAUUGAAAGCUUAAAUAAAGUUCUGAAGUACAACAAAAUGAAUGACAAGCAGAAUAUUAGGAUUGAAAAACUGUUGGAUUUACUGGAUGAACUUGUUGAUGAAAGAAUGUGGAAAAGGAUUAUAAACAUGGAAAGGCUAAAUGCAAAUAAUUGUUAGCACAAAAUAUGUCAGAGUGCACAUAAAAGAGCAGAAGAAAUGGUGGGUAAUAACGGUAAUGUAUCAUAUUCUGAAUUAGGACAUUUUAAGGCAAGGUCGUUUAGUGAUAAUCAUACAUGUGUAAUGUAUUGUGUAAAUUAUAUUGAGGUUUGUGAUGAGGACUGUAGGGCAAUGCAUUGUGAGAAGUGUAAAAUAUGUAAACAUAAAUAUAAUUGUGAUUCUCCAGAAUAUACUGUUAAAAGUGCCAUGUGUAAGCAUAUACAUGUUGUAGCUUUAUUUGAGCAGAGAAGCGAAUAUGUUUCAGGUUUCAUGGAUGAAAUGCAAGAAGAUAAUAAUCCGUAUAUCAAUGAACCUUCAACAAGCAAGACAGUUUAUGAGGAUGAAGUAAAUAAUUUUCUUGAUGAGACUGAAAAUAGAAUGAAUGUGACAAUUGAUUUUGAAAGAAAGCGUGAGAUUUGUCUAGAACAAUUUUGCUCUGAAAUUCGUAGUUAUGGUGGUGGAUUGGGUGAACAUGAUUUAAAGAAAAUGUAUGGGUGAUUUUAGAAAUUUUAUGCAGACAGUAAAACAAAAAGAAAUAAUGAUGAGUAAAAAAAGAAAAAUAGAAAAGCAGCAGUAUUAUCCCAACAAAAAACCUAAAUAAAUUUAUUUAUAAUAAAAUGUUGAUAACUACUUUAUUAUUACAUGACAUUGCUUUUGUGAGUGACCUAUUCUGGUAUUAUAUCUAAGUGGUGUUGGCUAUUUGUAUUCAUGUUGGCUUAUCAC